GACGAACGCUGGCGGCGUGCUUAACACAUGCAAGUCGAACGGUAAGGCCCUUCGGGGUACACGAGUGGCGAACGGGUGAGUAACACGUGGGUGAUCUGCCCUGCACUUCGGGAUAAGCCUGGGAAACUGGGUCUAAUACCGGAUAGGACCACUGCCUGCAUGGGUGGUGGUGGAAAGCUUUUGCGGUGUGGGAUGGGCCCGCGGCCUAUCAGCUUGUUGGUGGGGUGAUGGCCUACCAAGGCGACGACGGGUAGCCGGCCUGAGAGGGUGACCGGCCACACUGGGACUGAGAGACGGCCCAGACUCCUACGGGAGGCAGCAGUGGGGAAGAUUGCACAAUGGGCGCAAGCCUGAUGCAGCGACGCCGCGUGAGGGAUGACGGCCUUCGGGUUGUAAACCUCUUUCAGCACCGACGAAGCGCAAGUGACGGUAGGUGCAGAAGAAGGACCGGCCAACUACGUGCCAGCCGCCGCUGUAA
rnacentral:rRNA from 1 species